ensembl:lincRNA
ACAGCCUCCACUAUGAUGAAAUAGAAAGGGCUCUGCCACUUACUACACAUCCAGAUGGAGGCACUGGUAACAUGGCCUUCCUUGCUACUUGUGCUACUAGACAUAAACUGGAUCUCCAUCCAAGCUCUGACAGUCACUGAUGGAAUCAAUGUCAUUGGGGCAUGGAAAACAGCACAGUUCAUGACCCGUGGUAGUAGGCCGAGCGGUGGACUAAGACAUCGGGGGUGA